GGGGCCUUCAUCAACAAUCUGCGACUCCUUCCGCCGCCAUCUGCUUCCCCCGAUCAACCCCCUCCCCUACUCCGUUGUCGGCGUCAUCAAGGACCAGCUUCGAGCCCCCUCGAUCGCCGAGAUGGACCGUGGAUCGGCAGCC